ACCUUGGCUGUAGACUGCUUUACU
rnacentral:miRNA from 1 species